rnacentral:rRNA from 1 species
CACGGAGUUAGCCGAUCCUUAUUCCUACAGUACCGUCAAGACGCUACACGUAGCGUUGUUUCUUCCUGUAUAAAAGCAGUUUACAAUCCAUAGGACCGUCUUUCUGCACGCGGCAUGGCUGGUCCAGGCUUGCGCCCAUUGACCAAUAUUCCUCA